GACGAACGCUGGCGGCGUGCCUAAUACAUGCAAGUAGAACGCUGAAGCUUGGUGCUUGCACCGAGCGGAUGAGUUGCGAACGGGUGAGUAACGCGUAGGUAACCUGCCUGGUAGCGGGGGAUAACUAUUGGAAACGAUAGCUAAUACCGCAUAAUAGUAGAUGUUGCAUGACAUUUGCUUAAAAGGUGCAAUUGCAUCACUACCAGAUGGACCUGCGUUGUAUUAGCUAGUUGGUGAGGUAACGGCUCACCAAGGCAACGAUACAUAGCCGACCUGAGAGGGUGAUAGGCCACACUGGGACUGAGACACGGCCCAGACUCCUACGGGAGGCAGCAGUAGGGAAUCUUCGGCAAUGGACGGAAGUCUGACCGAGCAACGCCGCGUGAGUGAAGAAGGUUUUCGGAUCGUAAAGCUCUGUUGUAAGAGAAGAACGAGUGUGAGAGUGGAAAGUUCACAAUGUGACGGUAUCUUACCAGAAAGGGACGGCUAACUACGUG
rnacentral:rRNA from 1 species